ACAACCCUAUAACUGAAGAAUUUAAGCUAUACAUACUCGGCGAAGGAGGGUUUUAAUCAAUAGCCAUGUUGCUGUUAAGUAGCUUAAGGGAAGGGACUAAAGGUUAAUAUCACUUUCAUGUGCCUGGAGUCGUUGAGAAAGCAGGAGGUGAAGUCAAAGGGUGUUGAAGAGUCACUUAGCGAGGUAUAUUUAGCAACACAACUAGGUCGAGCUAUAUGUUGAUAUGCACUUGGAAUGGUAUUGGACUGUUG